rnacentral:rRNA from 1 species
ACGGGUGAGUAACGCGUGGGUAACCUGCCCUAUGGAAAGGAAUAGCCUCGGGAAACUGGGAGUAAUGCCUUAUAAGAUACAUUUGUCGCAUGGCAGAAGUAUUAAACGCUCCGGUGCCAUAGGAUGGACCCGCGUCCCAUUAGCUAGUUGGUGAGAUAACAGCCCACCAAGGCGACGAUGGGUAACCGGUCUGAGAGGGCGAACGGUCACACUGGAACUGAGACACGGUCCAGACUCCUACGGGAGGCAGCAGUGGGGAAUAUUGCGCAAUGGGGGAAACCCUGACGCAGCUAUACCGCGUGAGUGAAGAAGGUUUUCGGAUCGUAAAGCUCUGUUAUUGGGGAAGAAAAAAGACAGUACCCAAGAAGAAAGUCCCGGCUAACUACGUGCCAGCAGCCGCGGUAAUACGUAGGGGACAAGCGUUGUCCGGAUUUACUGGGCGUAAAGGGCACGCAGGCGGUUUUUUAAGCCAGAUGUGAAAGGUACCGGCUCAACCGGUGACAUGCAUUUGAAACUGAAAGACUUGAGUAUUGGAGAGGCAAGUGGAAUUCCUAGU